UACGAAGGGGGCUAGCGUUGUUCGGAAUUACUGGGCGUAAAGCGCACGUAGGCGGAUCGAUCAGUCAGGGGUGAAAUCCCAGAGCCCAACUCUGGAACUGCCUUUGAUACUGUCGAUCUGGAGUAUGGAAGAGGUGAGUGGAAUUCCGAGUGUAGAGGUGAAAUUCGUAGAUAUUCGGAAGAACACCAGUGGCGAAGGCGGCUCACUGGACCGGUAUUGACGCUGAGGUGCGAAAGCGUGGGGAGCAAACAGG
rnacentral:rRNA from 1 species